CCUACGGGAGGCAGCAGUGAGGAAUAUUGGUCAAUGGGCGCGAGCCUGAACCAGCCAAGUAGCGUGAAGGAUGACUGCCCUACGGGUUGUAAACUUCUUUUAUAAGGGAAUAAAGUGAGGCACGUGUGCCUUUUGGUAGGUACUUUGUGAAUAAGGAUCGGCUAACUCCGUGACAGCAGCCGCGGGAAUACGGAGGAUCCGAGCGUUAUCCGGAUUUAUUGGGUUUAAAGGGGGCGUAGAUGGGGUGUUAAGUCAGUUGUGAAAGUUUGCGGCUAAACCGUAAAAUUGCAAUUGAUACUGGCAGCCUUGAGUACAGUUGAGGUAGGCGGAAUUCGUGGUGUAGCGGUGAAAUGCUUAGAUAUCACGAAGAACUCCGAUUGCGAAGGCAGCUUACUAAACUGCCACUGACAUUGAUGCUCGAAAGUGUGGGUAUCAAACAGGAUUAGAUACCCGAGUAGUC
rnacentral:rRNA from 1 species